ACAGAGGUUAUCUGGAAGUUUUGAAAGCGCCAAUGUUGAUUCCCUCAAAUUUAGUCUGUUCCGUCACCUGCUCGUUACCGGAGUGACUUUUUUGAAAUGAGUAGGGGUGAUUUUUAAACAAAAAAAUAAUUGAGGCUGGUUCUCUUAAGAAUUAAAAUAUUACGGGAAAUAUUGCAUGCGCAGCGCCUUUAUUUAUUAACGUAUACUUUAUCAUAUCCUGCGUGGAUCACUGUGUGAAAAAAGAGAAAUAAGGGGAGGGAGGAGAAUAAAAAGAGAGGAAAAAGUGUGAACUCUUUGCAAAAUCAAAUCUCAAUUAGUACGGAGAAAUAAACGACCUAUCGUGCACUUCUCAACUCAAGAAAAUGAAGACUAGAAAAAUGGACAUUAGCGGUUUUUGCACGUCCCGAUUCAAUUGAUGACCACACAGAUAACACAACAAGCGAACAUUUUGUAUGCCGUUGGUUAUGAAGAAUAAAAUUAGGAAGAAAUCUUUGAAACGCAGUGAGUACAAGUGUCUCUCAAGUUCCAUGUGCGAUAGUUCUUCACCAUAUGACGAUGAUCACUUUUAACAACCAGCUUUUGUUGGCGCACUUGACUUCAAAGUUUACUUUCAGCCGCUACUGAACUGUAAAAAAUGGGUCACUGAAAAACAAUUACACUGGCUGCCGCAGGUUUGAAAGUACACAGAACAACCAUGAAUAUCGUGAUAUCCUUGUGCAUCAUACUACCGUUUGUGGCGGCAUUUCUGUCAACCCCUUUGGAAGAAAUCCCCGACUCUUCAAAUGUUCACCUCAUGCCCUUGAUGCUAGAGAAGGAACCAUCCAAGAAACCACCCGAAAUAGAAAAAACGGGAACCAACAAUGAUGAGGUCGAAGAUAAAACAAUGGAACAAUUGGUUCAUGCUCAGGCCAGCUGGAUGAGUAAUAUUAAGGAUGAGGUUUUGCGUGAAGAAGCUAUAUUCAACGCAUUGAAGGCAGAGAAGAUUCAAAUCAAACAAGCUCAUAUAGAAAAUGGGAAACUUUCUACAAGAGUUGAAGGUCUGGUGAAGAAUUGGUCCAUGGUUCAAGCAAGGAGUGCCAUAGAGUACUUUGAAGACGCUUUCGGUAUGGACUCAGAUAUUAGUACAGAAGACGUAACGAAAAUACAGAACUUGAUUAAGAAGAGUGGCGCUGUACGCAAAACACGAGGAGAGAAAAUAUACCUAGAGAAAGUUUAUGACCAAUUAAAAAUAUAUCGUCGGGCAGCACUGUGGUACAAGAUACUCCAUGAUAAGAAUACAAUUUAUCCCGCUACGAUAUUAGUUCGUUUGAUUAAAACGAAUAAAGAACCACCAAACACCGAACCGGAGUUUAGUUUGUGUAUUGCCCAAGCGUACAAAGAUCUGUCUCGGGCACUUAUUCAUCCUGCUGUUUUCAAGGGAAUGACUGGAUCGAUGCUGUACGAUGUGGACUCAGUUGUAUCCGGAUGCUCGAGCGCAGCUUUGAAGAUUUUAUUAUCAAUUUAUACACUAAACCCACCCUCUCGAAGCACCGACACAUCCUGAGUAAUUAAGUAUAUUCUUGUGUCAUAUCGUCUAAAAAGGACCCUUUUAAAGGAGGAUUUUGCUGUGAGUGAUAUGUAUUUGCUUAGAGAAAACUCCGCUAUGUAUAAGAAGUUGUGGAGCAUGACUAACCUAAGAGAAAUUGAUUCCAGAGUUGUAAAUUAAAAAAGAAAAAGGAGGGAGAGGAUUAGUUCGGUUUAAAGUUCUGUGUUUAUGGGCCACUUAAGCGUGUUAAAGAGAUUAACAUUUUUUCUUGUCCUAAUUUUAUUGGCUAAUCAAUUUUAAAAUAAUGCAAACAGUGAGAUAGUUAAAACCUCAAUAAAAAAAGGGGUCGCAGGAGGUGGCCGGGCGCGGAGAUAAACUUUGAGAAAGUCACUUGUUAGAAACACUUCGAGGGAACAUUAUUUUUAUUUUCUAUUUUCCAAAUGAAGCAACUAAUUCCACUGCGAAAGGGGAGAAGGAAUUAAAAGUGCGCGCGGCAUGUCCUUAAAAAGUAAAAAAGAAUGGGGAAGAAUUAGCCAUUUUAAGACACUCGAGGCGUAUUCUAUAGACUAAUUCUUUUUAAUAAUGUAGUUAAGUAGCAAAACAAUCUUUUUUUAAUUUCACUCCCGAAAUAAUAAAUUCGAAUUCGCCUUUUUUUCCGAGAGCCCUCAUCGUGGCCCUUUUAUCCGGUAUCAAAUUCGCCUCGUGUCUUUCAUGCAACCCCUUUUUCCAAGAGGCUAAAUGAGUAACCCUUUCGUAAAAAGAAUCCGACCAGGAGCGUUUAGCCGGAGCCAAGUAACAGUUACUCAGCACGCUAAUAAGCCUCCAACCCCUCCUUUAUUCUGCAUCCCCGCAGAAAGAAGGGUUGCGGGGUUAUUAAAGCAGGCUUCUUGACUCGAGAAGUUCCUUAUUAAGUAUCUCUAAUUGUGUUGCGUCAUUUUCAGGAAAAAACUCAUGCCCGCAUGUUUAGGGCCGAUUGGCUUUUUCGCAGCUUUGAGUCGAGAUUCUUUUUAUCGCAUGACAAGACACUAAUCUGUUGCUCACUCCCUUUAUGUUUUUUUUCGGUGUCAUCAAGCAAAUUAGCUCUAAACAAUGCUGAGUCAUUACUCUUUCGUCGAUUUGAGCGCCAUCCGUCGGUUAGAACGACACUAACGCGAAUUAGACCACGUCUAUCCUAGAGUAAGUAUAACUUUAUAGGGAGAGAAUGGACAACUCGAAAAUUUGGAGAUUAGGUUUGAUCAGGUCAUGCGGCAUUGUAGCUCUUGGGGCCGAAAAGGGUAGCCAACCUAUGAACUCAAAUAAUCCACAUCCAGUGGUACUAAUUUAAACUGCAAGAGGAGGUAUACUGAUUAAAACUUAUAAAAAGCACGUGUGUAUAAAACUUUGAUUUCGCACGAAUUUUCUCAGUUUCAAAGUCUUGGUCCUUAAAAACGCUUUAUUAUAAUGCGCUGUUGGCCCUAUUGAUCAAUAUUUCAAAUGUAUAGGUUGGCAGCUGCACUCUCCUAGUGAUUUUCGUUUUUCACGUUGUGGCCCUGUUGGGCCCUAAGAGCUACAUGAAUCGAGUUAUCCAUACUCUCCCUAUAAAAGUGCUCUAGUCUAUCCUAGCUUUGAAGUAAGUAAAAAAUCUAAUGCAUAGAACCACGACGUAACAUUUUUUAAUUUGUACUGUAAUAUUCUCCCAAGGAAGACGAAAUGGCACACACUGGAAAACGCGAGUGAAAUUUCAACAAAAAUUACAGGGUUGGUCAAUUCAAAAGAAGCUUUCCUUAAAAUUUU
rnacentral:lncRNA from 1 species